rnacentral:pre_miRNA from 1 species
GGGGGGAGGUCGGAUCCUGGGCUGUGUCCUGGAGCCCUGUGCUCCUGGCCUGCACUGUUGGAUUCGCGCUACCAGCCGCGUAGCUGCCU